AAUUCGAUGAUACGCGAGGACCUUACCUGGCGUCGAACGUAAGAUGACUGUAGGUGAAAGCUUACAUCUCUUCGGAGCAUUUUACGAGGUGCUGCAUGGUUGUCGUCAGCUCGUGCCGUGAGGUGUCGGGUUAAGUCCCAUAACGAGCGCAACCCUACCCUUUAGUUGCCAUCAGGUAAUGCUGGGGACUCUAAAGGAACUGCCUACGCAAGUAGUGAGGAAGGCGGGGAUGACGUCAAAUCAGCACGGCCCUUACGUCCAGGGCUACACACGUGCUACAAUGGCCGAUACAGAGGGCAGCACCUGGUGACAGGAUGCAAAUCUCCAAAGUCGGUCUCAGUUCGGAUCGGAGUCUGCAACCCGACUCCGUGAAGUUGGAUUCGCUAGUAAUCGCGCAUCAGCCAUGGCGCGGUGAAUACGUUCCCGGGCCUU
rnacentral:rRNA from 1 species